GUUGUUGCAACUGUGGCAUUUGGUAUGUGGGACUGGAUAAAAGUGAUGUUGGAGCUGUAAUUCAUUAUAGUCUGCCUAAAAGUCUGGAGGAGUAUGUGCAGGAGAUAGGCCGUGCUGGAAGGGAUGGGAGGUUGUCCUAUUGUCAGCUAUUCUAUGAUGAUGAAACAUAUUUCAAAC